UUUAGUAGAGACAGAGUUUCACCAUGUUGGCCAGGGUGGUUUCAAACUCCCGAUCUCAGUUGAUUCGCGCACCUUGGCCUCCCAAAGUGCUGAGAUUACAGGUGUGAGUCACACGCCCGGCCCUAACAAACAACUUAACUCCAAGACUCAGUAAGAAACGAAUAGGGAAGGAAAGACAGAGGUUUCCGGCAUCGCUCCUUCUCCCUUGCUUGCUAGGCCUAGAGAAGAAAAACCACGGAGGAGGGGAGAGGGACAUGGUGAUACUGCACAGCCUCAAGACGCAGUUCUUAGCAAAAGGGGACACCCUUUUGCAGUGGGCUGGUGUGUUCACCGGCUUGCUGGGUGUCAGUGAGGGAUGUCUCUGAGUGCCUUGGGCUUAUGGGCAGAUGAAGAGACAAGAGGAACAAGUAGAAAUUGCCCAUGUAGCUGCUCCACCCUAGGGAGUCCAGAGUGUAUCUACUCUACUGGGGAGAAUUAGAGAGAGGGGAGUAAUAUCCUGACACUCGGGUGUUCAAUUCCAGCUGUCAGCCCUGGCCCCUGCCAGUAUUAGGAAUGAUUCUCCUGUCCUCUGGGGUACUGCCCUCCGACGACAACUUAGGAUCAACAUUUAAAACCCUUUCUGCUCUCACCUUAGGUAAAUUAUAGACCAGAACAGGUCUAUAAUGGGGACAGGUCCCCACCCUAACCCCCAGAGACCGUUUCUCUCAAUAGGUGAAUAACAAAUAGCUCUCAAGUUUUAAUUUUUAUGUGCAAUAAUGCAAACAUACUGUUUUUAUAGCUCCUGAAUAAAUUGGGUGUCAAUACAAAUUAUUGUGGUUAGUGUAGGGCAGAGCCUCUGAUGAGUAAGGAUCUUUCCUCAAAGCCCAUCUUUGUCCAAAGACAGAAUCUGAGCCUUCCCUUGAUUUAUUUUAUUUUUUGCCAGUUUUGUAAAUGCUGUAUUCUUCCAUACCACCCCCUUCCCUAAUUUCCAGCUCCAGAAUUAACUGCCAAAGAUACAGUUGUCUGCAUGGAAUGUAGCAUAAUUGUCAUAGAAAGGAAGAAACCCCCCUUGCUUAGUAUUAAAAGUUUCUGGUUAAAAUAACUGACCAAAUAUUAAGUAAAACAUCAUCUUCUGGGUACAAUGCAGAAAAGUAAAAGCAGUUCAUAUAAGAUUACUAAACUUUGGGAGACUUUCAAGACCAGCCCUGGCAACAUAGCGAGACCCCAUCUCUGCAAAAAAAGUUUUAAAAAUUAGCCGGGCAUGGUAGUGUGCACCUGUAAUCCCAGCUACUCAGGAGGCCGAGGCAGGAGGAUCGCAUGAGCCCAGGAGUUUGAGGUUGCAGUGAGCCAUGGUCACACCACUGCACUCCAGCCUGCGUGAUAGAGUGAGAUCCAAAAAUAUUUACUAAAAUAGCAAAAAUGUGGACUUUGGGAUUUCCUCUAACUGCUGCAAAUUAUAACACAGAAUUUCUCAGUGUUGAUACUUCAAUUGUGGGACCAAGUCUUCUGGCUGCCCUACUUCUCUUUUCUGGCAUUUGAAAGCCCUUGAGCUAGCUGUGGAACUAAUCUUUGGACAGCCUUUUUGGUUCCCAGGAAUGUCGGGCCUUUGAAUUUCCAAACUACAUAUAUAUAUACAGUAUGUGUGUAUGUAUACCUGUCUUUUCACUGUAAGGCACCUGCCCCCAUCCCUUCUAGAAGGAGCCACAAACAACUGAGCAAAUGGAUGGAGGUUGAUUAAGGGGAAGAGAAAAUAGUCUGUUCUCUGACUCAAGACCUGAAGUUGCAGUGGGGCACGUAAGCUCCAGCCCCUGAAAGCACAGGAGUGCUUUUGCUCUGCCAGUCUGCCUUUUUUGGGAAAUCACACCAAGAUGGCUUCUCCAGCACAAUUACUUCCUAGAGUGUCUGCUUGACCCAUGGAAACUCACAGAUUUUUGGCAUGCCAAACAGAGGAUUAUCCUGCCGUCACUGCUGGCUCCAGCCACAGACUUCAGUUUUCUUACCUGUUAGAGCCUUUGUCCUCUGACUGGUGGAAAUGGAACUUACUUCUUUUUGUUUUGCCCUGCCACUAGGCUGGCAGCCUCCACUUCUUGACCCUUGGGUUUCUUAUUCUUGGAAUCAGAUAUGAGGCCCUGUGUCUUCUGUUGCUGUAGAGAACACAAGUCAUAUUCUCUGAGUGGAGAUCUUUUUGAAGCUCCUUUUUCCAGGCUUGUACUGAGGGGCCUCCAGACCCUCUACUACGUGGUGUCAAAGCUGCCAAGAGCCGUCACAUGCAGGGUCUGUAAAUUGACUUUCUUGCCUUUGACCAGAUGCAUUCACGUGAGCAGCACAGAGAUUGGGGGAGUGAAAGGGCACUGUUUCUUUGGGUCCAUGGGCGUGCAUCCCAUCCCCUAGCCUUGGGGUUAGCAGGAUUCAGAAUUUAUGAGCUUCGUCUGCAAAAGUCUACCUCUGCCAGAUGGGGGAGAACCUAGCGUGUGGACCUGAAGGGUUAGCUCCGUGCUUUAGUCCCUGGGAGCAGCCAUCUUGAGUCUUGGCGAGCUUGGCAAGUAAGGAGACAUUGACCAGACUCAAAGCUUCCAGAGGUGGUGAGAACUCCAGGGACCAGUAAUGGAGAGCACAAAGGUCCUUUUUAGCCCCCAUGACCCUUCCAAGCCAAGAACUUGGCAGUAGCUGUGAGUAGCAGAGAUAGGCAGAGGAGGUGAGGGGCACCUAUAGCUCUUAGCCAUGAGUUAUGACUCCCUCCAUCCAAGGGAGACCCAAGAACGUGAAAGGGGGCUCAGUUCCAAGGAUCAGAGGGAACUUGGGUUGUUUUGGGAUAAUGACUGUGGCUUGGGGUGUCACGGAGAUGAACACCAGAAUUGGUGUGCAACAGAUAAGCUCCAGUACCCUUGAUGGUUUGCAUGGGUUUUACUCUGCUGAUGAUGGUCAGGGACAGUAGUGAGGCCUUCUACAAUGCUGCCUUCUGCCUAAACACAGGCGGCUCCCACAAAAGGGGGGCUGUCGUUAUGGAGCCUAGGAAUGGAUAGUCAGAGAGCAGCGGCUGGGCAGUGCAACUCCUGCAUUGGACAAGGUCCUGGCUAGAGAAUGUCAGUGUCCACACUGCAUGUAGCCCUAUGGAGGAGACGAUGUAGGGGGCUGUCAGCCUUGAAGACUCUAGCCUAAGUACUCCACCACCACCCUGGCUGGGCUCCAAGGGCACAAAUCAGCUUUUUGAAUCUGACUUGGCUUCCUGUGAUCUGCAUUCAUGAAUAUUCUUACUAGAGUUCUCAUGGAAAAUGAAUACACAACCAUUCGGUCUGAAUGUCAGUCUGAGUUUGGUGCCUCCAAAACAAUUCUCUGGAUUAGAUGGAGAAUGAAGAAACUUCACAAAGGCAAAAGGACAGGUCCCCAUCCUGAUCCCCAGAGACUGCUUCUCAGAGUCUCCAUCUGUUCAUCCCUGGUGUUAGCCACGGUCCUUUACUCUCCCUCAUUUCUGUAGCCGCUCCUGUGGCUUCCUCUCUUUCAACCUGCAGGCUGCUGCUGCCCUGCCUCAGACCCUUGUAGGCUUCUGUAGAGAUGCUACUCAGAUGGGGGUGGAGCUAGAUGCGAGCUGAAACCUACCUAGGAGAUCUAGCUUGGAGAGCUUGUGAAUCUUAGGAGCGCCAGGCAUGGAAUGACUAAAACUUGUCACUGCAUGAGAUAAAAGAAAUGAAAAGCCACUUCUGGAGGGAAUGAGGCGGCCUGCCUUUAUUGGAGAGAUACAUAUUGUUGAACAGCUCUGGGCAGUUGAUUGUGUGCCCGGGAGAGCUAACCAUGUUUACUCUACACUCGACCUGUGAUGGUCUGUAUUGAUUGUAUCACACGCUUAGCUUUCUAAGGCUAACGGGGUCAUUAUCCUCAGUGCCUGCCUGCAGCUAGGUUGCCAACUGGCCCUUGAUUUCCCACCCAACUCGUUCAGUUUGCCCUCAAUCCUGGGGCUUCACUAAUUUCCCAAAAAAUAUGGUUGGUAACACCUGUAGUUUGCUGUUGCAUGUUACCUGACUUUUGGGAAACUCAAAUAAACACUUUUCAAACGCAUUGACCAGUUUUACUCUAUGACUUUUACUUUGCAUAAUCACUAUCUUGGUCACCCAUCAUGCUGCUUUCUGGUAAGCUGAAAGGAAAAUAAAUGGUCUAAACUGAGCAACAAGAAAGCAAACUUCUUUUAAGCAGGUACUUUCCAAGUGAAAUGAGAACGGGAGAUUGGGUUCAAAAGAAAGGAUGCCGAGCUAGAUUGAACUUUCAAGUGUUUUCCAACUGGAAAACUCCAACGUUCUCUGAUCUCAGAGAAUUUCCAAUCUAAUUUCAAGGAAGUCCCUCAGGAGCCCCUUUGCAAGGGUGGUUAUAGAGCCAUUUACGUCUGCUUUAAUAAAACUAAUGCUUAUAAAGAAAGAAAACUUAAUUUUCAGUCAUCCGUAACACAAAAAAGUGAGGUUUGAUGCACAGUAAAAGGAAUCAUUAUUUAAGUUAGUCUGAGUUAUACUGUAUUUUGGAAAUGUUCCACAUUCAAUAUUUAUGCCAUGUACUCUAAAACCAAAGUGUGUAGAUUAUAAAAAAUUAUUUCCAGAAAUAAGCUUGCUGAAUCACCACAGUCUUAAUCUAUUUAUUUUCACUACCAGGUUCCUGAAUGUUUUUGUCUAAUUGGCCUAUUUUCAGUUGCCCUGGGUCCACCCUUGAGCCCCUCUUUGAGCCUGUCACUUAGAGAAGUACAAGAACCUCCUGCUAAGAAUAAAGCCUUGAUUGCAAUUUCAGUGAAUUAUCAGGAAAGUGUGAGAAUAAAUGUCUAAACAUUUGGGAAAAUCUUGUUUGCAAUAAAUAUGGUUAACAAAAAGUGAAUAGGCUUACUACAUAAAAUUGUUACUCAUCAAUUAAAAAAAACUAUACGAUCCUCCUCCAUGGGGAAAAAUGAUCAGAUAUUUCAAGUCCGCUGAUAUUUUUCUCUGGAAGUCAGACCUGUAUACUUUGUCCUGCUUUAUUGGAGUAUAACUGACAAAUAAAACAUUUAUGUAUUUAAGGCA